GAUGAAGAACGUAGCGAAAUGCGAUAAGUAAUGUGAAUUGCAGAAUUCAGUGAAUCAUCGAAUCUUUGAACGCACAUUGCGCCCGCUGGUAUUCCGGCGGGCAUGCCUGUUCGAGCGUCAUUUCAACCCUCAAGCUCUCCGGAGUUUGGUGUUGGGGCGCCUGGGGCUUUUCGACCUCAGGGCCCUCAAGUCCAUCGGCGGGACGCCAGGACACUGAGCGCAGUAGUAUUAUUUCGCUCGGUAGGAUCUUCCACGGCGGGUCGAUCUGGCCGCUAAACCCCCCAAUUCUCACCAAAGGUUGACCUCGGAUCAGGUAGGAAUACCCGCUGAACUUAAGCAUAUCAAUAAGCGGAGGA
rnacentral:misc_RNA from 1 species